UACAGAGGUCCCGAGCGUUGUUCGGAUUCACUGGGCGUAAAGGGUGCGUAGGUGGUGACGUAAGUCGGAUGUGAAAUCUCGGAGCUCAACUCCGAAACGGCAUUGGAAACUGCGUUGCUAGGGGGUUGGAGGGGGGACUGGAAUGCUUGGUGUAGCAGUGAAAUGCGUAGAUAUCAAGCGGAACACCAGUGGCGAAGGCGAGUCCCUGGACAACACCUGACACUGAGGCACGAAAGCUAGGGGAGCAAACAGG
rnacentral:rRNA from 1 species